GGGUGAGUAACACGUGGGUAACCUGCCCUAAAGUCUGGGAUACCACUUGGAAACAGGUGCUAAUACCGGAUAACAACAAUAGCUGCAUGGCUAUUGCUUAAAAGGCGGCGAAAGCUGUCGCUAAAGGAUGGACCCGCGGUGCAUUAGCUAGUUGGUAAGGUAAUGGCUUACCAAGGCGACGAUGCAUAGCCGAGUUGAGAGACUGAUCGGCCACAUUGGGACUGAGACACGGCCCAAACUCCUACGGGAGGCAGCAGUAGGGAAUCUUCCACAAUGGGCGAAAGCCUGAUGGAGCAACGCCGCGUGAGUGAAGAAGGUUUUCGGAUCGUAAAGCUCUGUUGUUGGUGAAGAAGGAUAGAGGUAGUAACUGGCCCCUAUUUGACGGUAAUCAACCAGAAAGUCACGGCUAACUACGUGCCAGCAGCCGCGGUAAUACGUAGGUGGCAAGCGUUGUCCGGAUUUAUUGGGCGUAAAGCGAGCGCAGGCGGAAAGAUAAGUCUGAUGUGAAAGCCCCCGGCUUAACCGAGGAAUUGCAUCGGAAACUGUGUUUCUUGAGUGCAGAAGAGGAGAGUGGAACUCCAUGUGUAGCGGUGGAAUGCGUAGAUAUAUGGAAGAACACCAGUGGCGAAGGCGGCUCUCUGGUCUGUAACUGACGCUGAGGCUCGAAAGCAUGGGUAGCGAACAGGAUUAGAUACCCUGGUAGUCCAUGCCGUAAACGAUGAAUGCUAAGUGUUGGGA
rnacentral:rRNA from 1 species